rnacentral:rRNA from 1 species
CCUACGGGGGGCAGCAGUGGGGAAUAUUGCACAAUGGGGAAAACCCUGAUGCAGCGACGCCGCGUGAGUGAAGAAGUAUUUCGGUACGUAAAGCUCUAUCAGCAGGGAAGAAAAUGACGGUACCUGACUAAGAAGCCCCGGCCAACUACGGGCCAGCAGCCGCGGUAAUACGUAGGGGGCAAGCGUUAUCCGGAUUUACUGGGUGUAAAGGGAGCGUAGACGGCAGGGCAAGUCUGGAGUGAAAUCCCAUGGCUUAACCAUGGAACUGCCUUGGAAACUGUGCAGCUAGAGUGCAGGAGAGGUAAGCGGAAUUCCUAGUGUAGCGGUGAAAUGCGUAGAUAUUAGGAGGAACACCAGUGGCGAAGGCGGCUUACUGGACUGUAACUGACGUUGAGGCUCGAAAGCGUGGGGAGCAAACAGGAUUAGAUACCCCUGUAGUC